CGUUCUUUCACUUUGUGAAAGUUUCUAUGAGGUGCGAAUGCGGCUGUUUCCUGUAGGGUGUUUUAAACUGAAUGAAUUUACAAUCUUGAUCUCCUCGAACCUCCAACAAACACAGAGAUGGCAGAGAUAGUCAUGUCUCCAGUAAUCCAGCCUUACCUCCAACCGGGGAUGACCAUAGUCCAGCCAGAUGCCAUGUCUCCAACAAUCCAGCCUGAGUAUCAGCAGGUGAUGACUGUAGUCCAGCCAGAUGCCAUGUCUCCAACAAUAAUCCAGCCUCAGUAUCAGCAAGGGAUGACCAUAGUCCAGCCAGAAGCCAUGUCUCCAACAAUAAUGCAGCAGCCUCAGCCUCAGGAGGUGAUGACCGUGGUCCCUCCUGAAGCCAUGUCUCCAACAAUAAUCCAGCAGCCUCAGCAGGUGAUGACCAUGGUCCCUCCAGAAGCCAUGUCUCCAACAAUAAUCCAGCAGCCUCAGCAGGUGAUGACCGUGGUCCCUCCAGACGCCAUGUCUCCAACAAUAAUCCAGCAGCCUCAGCAGGUGAUGACCGUGGUCCCUCCAGACGCCAUGUCUCCAACAAUUAUCCAGCCUCAGCCUCAGCAGGUGAUGACUGUGGUCCCUCCAGAUGCCAUGUCUCCAACAAUAGUCCAGCCUCAGCCUCAGCAGGUGAUGACCGUGGUCCCUCCAGACGCCAUGUCUCCAACAAUAAUCCAGCCUGAGCCUCAGCACAUGAUGACUGUGGUCUCUCCAGUCCAGGCCAUAGUCCCACAAACUCAAGCAGUGGUGACUCAACCUAAUCUGAGAGAUAUACCAGCGAAGUUCACGUGUUCUUACUGCCUCGUGGACAUCAUCACGGUGACGCGGUACAUGGCUGACCCCACGGUGAACUGCGGCCUGUUCGGGAGCAGCUGUACAUUUAAGUAAGAUCAGUCACACACACACACACACACACACACACACACACACACAUCAUAUAACACUCAUAUCAGCCCACACACAAUCAGGUUCACUAAUAAUCACACUUCCUCUGUUGUGUCUGGGCAGCGUCUGGCCGUGGUGUCUGGUCCCGUGCAGGUCCUGUACAGAUGUGGAGCACAAAUGUCCAAACUGCCACAACGUCAUCUACGUCUUCAAGCGGCAGUCGUGACGCAAUGCAUCAUGGGAACUUCAGGAGACUUUCACUACUGUGAAAAUGUUGAAAUUAAGAUUUUGGGUGCUGUAUCAAAUCUCAGAGCACAGUAAUAAAUACUGUAGAUACUGUAAUUUCCGGGCUAAA
rnacentral:lncRNA from 1 species